rnacentral:rRNA from 1 species
UACGAAGGGGGCUAGCGUUGUUCGGAAUUACUGGGCGUAAAGCGCACGUAGGCGGAAUGUUAAGUCAGGGGUGAAAUCCCGGGGCUCAACCCCGGAACUGCCUUUGAUACUGGCAUUCUCGAGUCCGGAAGAGGUGAGUGGAAUUCCGAGUGUAGAGGUGAAAUUCGUAGAUAUUCGGAGGAACACCAGUGGCGAAGGCGGCUCACUGGUCCGGUACUGACGCUGAGGCGCGAAAGCUAGGGGAGCAAACAGG